rnacentral:miRNA from 2 species
GGCAGGUUGUUCUUGGCUAC